GGUGUUUAAGGACUGCUGCUGGGAAAGGCUGCAGGGAAAUCACCUGCAUGGAGAGAGUUGGGAAGCUGGCAAACCCAGAGAGGGUGGGAGCUAGUGGUAUAGAAAGAAGCCCAGGGAAACAGUAGCAAGAAGUAGGACUGUACAGGGACUCUGGCAGCUUGUUAUUGGGUCCCUGGGCUGGAACCUCGUGUAGUGGGUGGGCAUAGGUUCCCCUGCCAGGCAGUGGCAAAGGGCACUGGAGAUGCUAUCCAGGCAGCUGGUCUGGAAAGACUGAAUUCUCUGAAAGAGGAGGACUUUAGUGAGCUGGCUGGAGAGCUGAGCCAUGAAGAGAAGACUGCAGAUCCGGGAGUUGGAGGGGCUGCAGAGCGAAAGAGACUGGGGGAAGACAUCACUGGAGGGAGAACGUAAGCUGGCAGAGUGAAUCCCCAGGACAGGCAGCAGGAGGCAGAGGCAGGAAUGAAGCCACUGAGGCCCAGACCCUAAAGCUAACGCCCAUAGCCUUGAGGAGCUGUACCUGAGUGUCUCAGAGGAGCUGGAUUUUGGAGCAGCUAAUUCAAUUCCUAGCUCAGUUUAUUACAGGAUUGGCUACAAGUGUUGUCUUUGGUGUGAGAUCGAAGGAGCAACUCACCUGGGAUAAGUGGC